UACGUAGGCAGCGAGCGUUGUUCGGAAUUACUGGGCGUAAAGAGUGUGUAGGCGGUGCUCUAAGUUCGGUGUGAAAUCUCCUGCUUAACUGGGAGGGUGCGCCGGAAACUGGGGUGCUCGAGCGUGGGAGAGGAAAGCGGAAUUCCUGGUGUAGCGGUGAAAUGCGUAGAGUAUCAGGAGGAACACCGAUGGCGAAGGCAGGUCUCUGGGCUGACACUGACGCUCAUGCACGAAAGCGUGGGGAGCAAACAGG
rnacentral:rRNA from 1 species